rnacentral:tRNA from 1 species
GAGACUUUAGUUUAAUGGUAAAACGUGUGACUUUUAAUCACCAAAAUAUGGGUUCAAAUCCCAUAGGUCUUA